rnacentral:rRNA from 1 species
GACGAACGCUGGCGGCGUGCCUAACACAUGCAAGUCGAGCGGAGAUAGACUGAUGGUAACUGAAGUUUGUCUUAGCGGCGGACGGGUGAGUAACACGUGGGCAACCUGCCUUGGAGUGGGGGAUAACACCGGGAAAUCGGUGCUAAUACCGCAUAACAUACACAAACUGCAUGGUAAGUGUAUCAAAGGAGCAAUCCGCUUUAAGAUGGGCCCGCGGCUGAUUAGCUAGUUGGUAAGGUAACGGCUUACCAAGCGACGAUCAGUAGCCGACCUGAGAGGGUGACCGGCCACACUGGAACUGAGACACGGUCCAGACUCCUACGGGAGGCAGCAGUGGGGAAUAUUGCGCAAUGGGGGAAACCCUGACGCAGCAACGCCGCGUGGAGGAAGAAGGUCUUCGGAUUGUAAACUCCUGUCUUCUGGGACGAAGUAUGACGGUACCAGAGGAGGAAGCCACGGCUAACUACGUGCCAGCAGCCGCGGUAAGAGUCACGUCG